UACGUAGGGCGCAAGCGUUGUCCGGAAUUAUUGGGCGUAAAGAGCUCGUAGGCGGCUUGUCACGUCGAUUGUGAAAGCCCGAGGCUUAACCUCGGGUCUGCAGUCGAUACGGGCUAGCUAGAGUGUGGUAGGGGAGAUCGGAAUUCCUGGUGUAGCGGUGAAAUGCGCAGAUAUCAGGAGGAAUACCGGUGGCGAAGGCGGAUCUCUGGGCCAUUACUGACGCUGAGGAGCGAAAGCGUGGGGAGCGAACAGG
rnacentral:rRNA from 1 species